AACAUCGCCUUUUGAAGAAAUAGAAGGUCUAACCUGCCCACUGAAAAUGUUGAAGGGCCGCGGUAUUUUGACCGUGCAAAGGUAGCAUAAUCAUUAGUCUUCUAAUUAAAGGCUGGAAUGAAUGGUUGGACGAGGUACUAGCUGUCUCACUAAAAUUCUUGGAAUUUAGCUUUUCAGUCAAAAGGCUGAAAUAAGAUUGGAGGACGAGAAGACCCUAUAGAGCUUUACAUUGAAAGUAUCUACCCUUUUUGGGGGAGGUUUAGGUUUAUACAGUAAAUGUUUCGUUGGGGUGACGGGAAGAUAAGAAGAACUCUUUUUAUAAUGGCACACAGAUUUGUGGAUUGA
rnacentral:rRNA from 1 species